UAUAUAACAGCGACGAAAAUCAUCGAAGCAAUAAAUAAAAAAAAUCGGAGAUCUUGACACGAACACUAUAUUUUAGAACGAAGUGUUAAGAACAUAAUUCGACCUCCCAUUUACCUAUACGUGCACACGUUUCUCUCUUGUAGUCAGAUUGAGCUUUUUUUAUAAAUGGUGGUUCCUAUGUGCAUGCAAUUAGUAUAAGUUUUAGUUAUUUAAAAAUGUUUCAAUGUAUUGUAACGAUUGAGCACGAGCCGAGCGACGUUAUCAAUUUUCUUUAUCUCUCCAAGAUAAAGUGAUCUUGACAAUUCAGAAAUAAUCACAAGAUGAUUUGUUGGCGUAGAUAGAAAGGAAAACUGACGGCCUAACAGGUGUUAAGUAGUUACCGGAAUAAACUUCAUAAGCUGCAACGAGAAUACCGCCCACCUUCAAAUAUUAGGUUACAAUUUCAAUUCGAAUAACAGCUAUUCUAACCUUCAAAGCGGAAAGCACUAUUCCUUCUCGGCAGAUAUAGACAAGACCGUUCCAUAAUGAAUAAAGCCGCGUGGGUUUAACAACAAUCACCUUCACAAUCAUUGAUAAACUUCACAUAAGUAUUCGGUACAUUUAUUUUAUUGAAAUAAACCUACUAUACCACAUCCACACAUAUACGAGACAAGAACAACUUUAUUCAGUGAGCGGGAAUCGUCAGGUCAUGUAAAAAAAGUAUACCAUUCAGUCAUCCAAACGCAAAACCAAGACAGGAGCAAUCACUCAAGGUUAGUUUAAUUGCGAAAAUAUAGACAUUGCAAAACGAAGACGCGGUCACGAUAUGCAUAAUAAAAACGCAAUAUUAAUUUAUUUUGCAAAUUUAACCGAAUUAUAUGAGAAUGUUGCGUCGAUAGUGGAAUACAAAUUUUGUAUAUAUUUUUUUCAUUUACCUGCCUUUAUUUUACAAUAAAAUAAAUUGCAGUACGUAGCUACAAAUAUAAUGAUAUAUUUCUAAUCUAGUAACUGAUGUUGUAGGAAAUGCGUUCAAAAUAACUUUUGUAUCAGGCAAAGGACGCGUCUAGUUGGCAUCGAUUUCUAGAAGAGCGUAGCACUUUAUGUGGUUCACGGACGAUACUCUUCAUGCUCUGCGCAGCUAUACGCAACACAUAAAAUUUGUUAGACAUUACAUAACAGAUCUGGCUAGCAUUCUAGGCCUAUAGAUACUUAAUAUAAUAUUAAGGGAAUGCCUGAAAGAAAUGUUUGCGCAUUUUGUAACUAAACUUAUCCAAGUUAUCUAUCUUGUAGUGACAUAACCUAUAUAGAUAGGAAGCCGGGUUGUACCAACCAAUAAAACAUAGUAUUCAUACUGCUAGAACAAUAAAAUUAAUGAUAUAUAUAUAUCAUCCUAUUUUUGUUCAUCUAAUAAAGUUUAACUUGCAACUUUCAUUGGAAUGUUGACUGCAAUUAAUCCUGUCAUUGUGAUUUUAAUUAUUUUGAACUACAAGUUUUGAUUCAAAUCAGUGAGUACUUUUUGAAUGAUAAUUAAAUAAAAAAACCAAAUAAUAGAGAAAAUUAAAUUUAUUAAAUAACCUCAUAACUUACUGAGAAUCCCUUACACGUUCAGCCCUUAUAUCCUAUAUUUACAAUGCAGGCUGUUAUUCUAUAUGUACAUCGCGCGCGGGCCAGGCUUUAAAUCACAGGAAAUAAAAGAUUAAUUAAUAGAGAAGCAUCACAGUCUAAACAGGGGCUCCUACUUCUUCUUGGUAGGUCCUCGUGAGUUGUGCUGCUGCGACAGUGAGUUGGCGGAGAGAACGGCGCAAACCACGUAGAUGACGGCGACACGCAGCGGCGGCCCUCGCUGCGGACUCGCGUUCAUCUUCGCCUUCGAUUCCAGAGUCACCCGCUGCACUAGAAGCAUCGCUUUCAGUGUCGCUGAGGUCAGACACGCGCCUCCCUCGCUCCACCUGCUCUUGGCUAUCACCACCUGACCACAGCAACUCAGUCUUCAGAUCAUUAAGCAUGGAGAACAUGCUGAAUGGGUCAUCGUCACCUUCCUGUGGCAAAUUCAUCAGACGGCUUGGUACUAAGACCGUCUCAUCCAUGGUGUUAACCAUUUUGACAAAUUUCUCCAUGUCAUUCAGGAUGCUCUGUUUUGAAAAUUCAGCACCAUCAUUACGGGCGAUUUUGCGCAGGGUGUUCCUGUAACAAUGAAAAGAAAAAACAAUUAGUCUUAAUCACAACAAUUUCACAUAAUAUAGAGGAGAGCAUGUUAUCUUGAAAAUCCUAAAUUAUAAACGAUAUAAUAGGAAAGCCGUACAAGGAAAUAUUUUAAUCGGUUUAGCAUUAUGUAUGAGGUUUUCAAUGUCAAUAAAUUUCUGUAUUAUAAUAAA